GAAUCUCGAGUUAUUAGGGUUUUUAUUUUAGAAUCCUAGAGAGUGUUCUUGAGGAAAUUUGAUGAAUAUGGGUGAAAUUUAGCUCUUUAGGGAUUAAAUCCUGUGUUUAAGUUGAUAGGGGAAUGGUAAAUUACCAAAAUGCCAUUAAUUUCCCGGAGGAGGCUGAAAAAUUAGCCUGGGGCAAUCCACCAGGCACCGCCCGCCUUAGAGCACCGCUUUAGGCCAGGCGCCGCCUGCUCUAUCGCGGGCUUGCCCCCAGGUCAGGCGAUCCAGCGGGCGGCGCGGGCUAAUCGUGCGCAGUUACUGGAAUUGAAAUCCAAACUCGCCCUUAAGCCCAUCUAAAAAUCCUGAAACUCACCCAAGACGUCCUAUGACCUUGCCUCAUCGCAACACAACAACAAAAUCUAAAAAUAGAGGUCGGAAAGGUCCAAAAUAAAAUUUCUGAUGAUUACUAGUUAAAAUGAGUCUAUAAGUCUCAUUAACAGUUAAAAUAUUUUUCACAAUUUUUAAGCUUCUUAUCCUAUGCACAUGCUAUUACAUGGUAACGCAUUGCACAAAAUUUUACGGGGCGUUACAGCAGUGGUAGAGGCAAGAUUUUCACCAAAGGAGUUCAACGUCUAUUAAACAUACAUAACAACAAACCCAACAUAAUCCUACAAAGUGAAGUCUGGAGAGGGCCAAGUGUAUGCACACCAGGUUGUUUCCUGUAGACUGUCGGCUCAGGAAAACAUCAAUUAUACAUACAUAACCAAAAAAGAAACAAAGUUGACCUCAUAUACAGAGUGUGAUUCUCCGGCGAAGGGGGUUUCGUUGACCUCAUACAUAGAGUGUGAUCUUCCGGCGAAGGGGGGUUCAUCCACUAGCUCCGGCCAAAGGAAAAGCAGGAGGGAGAGCGAGUUACCGGGGAGCACCGGCUAGCUCAGAGCUUCGGUUGCUUCUUAGGAAAGAACAAGAACAAGUGGUGACAUGAUGCAGCAGGAUUAACAAAUAUAUGUGUGGGUGUGGGUGUGCGCGCGAGCGUGGGCGUGUGGGAGAGAGAGUGAACUGCUGCAGACCACAAAUAUAAACAUAAAACCAGGAUAAGAAUUAAAAAGGCUUUCUUGACUUCAUUUUUGUGUGUUGUAGUUUUCAAAUGAAAUUUCAACAGCAUGACUUACAGAGUCUUUCUUGGCUUCAUUUUCCUACUCUUUUAGCUAUUUAAAUAUGCUUGAUUAGAUCACAGUAAAGUAUUCUCUUUUUAAUAAAAUUGAUCCACAUAAAUAAAUUAAUGUCUAAUCAAGUAUAAGGAUUUGCCAUUAAUAUAUUUUUUUCCUAUUUUUUUCUUUUGCAAGGGUUGGGAUUAUACAUCAAAUUGAAUGAAUUUCUGUGAUGUAGCUUUCUUUGAAAUUUCUAUAGCUAAGAAUUUUAUGACUUUAAUGUUACCAACAAAUGAUUUAAUUUCAAUGUAAAAUAAACGCCAGACUUAACGCCGACGGUAAUUUGUUUCUGAAAUACUUGAUUUUUCCUUCCGCUAUUCUUUUCCAUGGAUAUAAAGAUUUCCACAUUUUGAAAAGUAAUUGCCAAACACUUUUGAACUAUUAAUAUACUUUUCCAUGGAAAGUGAAACAUUGAUUCCUAUGUCAAUUGUAAAUUUAUGAAUGAAUAUUUAUAUUAUAUAUGCCAUUUUCAACAACCAAAAAAGAUUUAUUCCCUCCAUCCCUCUAAUUUGAAAAAUAUUUACCUAUACUUUUUCAUGGUGCGAUAUUGUCCGUUUUGGAUCUAGCCUGCAUGAUUUUCCCCAAAAGGUCUUACACCGUUAAGAGAUUUUACCCCUUAAAUGUAGCUUCUCGAUCGAUUUUUUUAGCUACCAAUGUAGGACGUUCGUUCACAUGCCCAACAAUUUCCCCCUCGAACUAAAUUCCACAUGACUCAUCACUGUCAUCACGAUCCAUGGAUCAUCGAGAUUUAUUUUUGCCGCGCACAUCGUUUGAGUAUUUUUAUGCAUACCGAAGUCCACAACUAGCUUCUUCUUGUGUGUGCAUCUCCGCCACAUCUUCCUACUCAUCCCGCUGAACUUGAGUUUUGAUACCAGUUGUUGGACUAAACUAGUCAAAAGACACCGUACCCUUACAUGGUGUGAUAUUGUCCCCCAGAAAGC
rnacentral:lncRNA from 1 species